rnacentral:rRNA from 1 species
UACGGAGGAUCCGAGCGUUAUCCGGAUUUAUUGGGUUUAAAGGGUGCGUAGGCGGCCCAUUAAGUCAGGGGUGAAAUACGGCAGCUCAACUGUCGCAGUGCCUUUGAUACUGAUGGGCUUGAAUGUGGUUGAAGAUGGCGGAAUGAGACAAGUAGCGGUGAAAUGCAUAGAUAUGUCUCAGAACUCCGAUUGCGAAGGCAGCUAUCUAAGCCAUUAUUGACGCUGAUGCACGAAAGCGUGGGGAUCAAGCAGG